rnacentral:rRNA from 1 species
GAUGAACGCUGGCGGCGUGCCUAAUACAUGCAAGUCGAGCGAACGGACGAGAAGCUUGCUUCUCUGAUGUUAGCGGCGGACGGGUGAGUAACACGUGGAUAACCUACCUAUAAGACUGGGAUACCUUCGGGAAACCGGAGCUAAUACCGGAUGAUAUUUUGAACCGCAUGGUUCAAAAGUGAAAGACGGUCUUGCUAUCACUUAUAGAUGGAUCCGCGCUGCAUUAGCUAGUUGGUAAGGUAACGGGUUACCAAGGCAACGGAGCUUAGCCGACCUGAGAGGGUGAUCGGCCACCCGGGAUGUGAGGCAGGGCCCAGACUCCUACGGUGGGCAGCGGUAGGAAAUCUUCCGCGAUGGGGGAGAGCCGAACGUUGCGACGUCGCCGGAAGGAUGAAGGUCUCCGGAUCGGAAAACGCUGUUAGUAUGAGAAAACAUAAAUGUUUGUAACGGGGCACAUCAUGACGGUACCUAAACAGAAAGCCACGGCUAACUACGUG